rnacentral:rRNA from 1 species
CUGACCUCGAAUCAGGUGGGACUACCCGCUGAACUUAAGCAUAUCAAUAAGCGGAGGAAAAGAAACUAACAAGGAUUCCCCUAGUAACGGCGAGUGAAGCGGGAUGAGCUCAAAUUUAAAAUCUGAUAGCCUUUUGGCUAUCCGAGUUGUAAUCUAGAGAAGUGUUUUCCGUG